GUGCAGUGGUUAAGAGCACUUGCUGCUCUUCCAGAAGACCCAGGUGCAGCUCCUUGCACCUGUAUCAGAUGCUUACAACAACCUAUAUAUUCCAGGACCUCCAGAUUCAACGCUAACCUCUUCUAUCAAAUGACCAAUAAAAGACACAUCCACAGGGUCAGGGUGCCGCUGCAAACACAUCUGGAUCCUCACAGCACCACCUGAUUGUGAAUAAAAGGCAUUCAGUA